rnacentral:misc_RNA from 1 species
AAUUCUCAAAACCCUUUUCUUUGAUCCCUUGUGGUCGGGAAAAGGACUUUUGGACUUGGAGGUUCAAUGCUUGCCUUUCACUUUUGAAAGUGAGCUCCUCUCAAAUAAAUUAGCGGGGUCUGCUUUGCUGGUCCUUGACGUGAUAAGAUGUUUCUACGUUUUGGAUUUGGCACUGUCUUUUGGACGUUCGCUACCAACUGUCUUAUGGACGACGAUGGUGCUUCGGUCACCGCCAUCUACUGUACAUUGGCGGGAGGCUGGACCCACAAAAAACCC